AGUCAUAUGCUUGUCUCAAAGAUUAAGCCAUGCAUGUCUCAGUAUAAAUUUCCAUACGGUGAAACUGCGAAUGGCUCAUUAAAACAGUUAUAGUUUCUUUGAUGGUCACUCGUUACAUGGAUAACUGUGGUAAUUCUAGAGCUAAUACAUGCGUACAGACCCGACUUCUUGGAAGGGUCGUAUUUAUUAGCCUUAAAACCAAUCCAGGCCCCGCCUGGUCCACUGGUGAGUCAUAAUAAACGAACGAAUCGCAUGGCAUCCGCCGGCGAUGGAUCAUUCAAGUUUCUGACCUAUCAGCUUCCGACGGUAGGGUAUUGGCCUACCGUGGCAUUGACGGGUA
rnacentral:rRNA from 1 species